rnacentral:tRNA from 1 species
AAAAAAUUAGUUAAGUAAUAACAUUAGUAUGUCAAACUAAAAUCAUUAGAAGACUAAUAUUUUUUA